rnacentral:rRNA from 1 species
CUUUUGCUGGCGACCGGCGCACGGGUGAGUAACACGUAUCCAACCUGCCCUUUACUCGGGGAUAGCCUUUCGAAAGAAAGAUUAAUACCCGAUAGCAUAAUGAUUCCGCAUGGUUUCAUUAUUAAAGGAUUCCGGUAAAGGAUGGGGAUGCGUUCCAUUAGGUUGUUGGUGAGGUAACGGCUCACCAAGCCUUCGAUGGAUAGGGGUCCUGAGAGGAAGGUCCCCCACAUUGGAACUGAGACGCGGUCCAA